rnacentral:rRNA from 1 species
UGGGGAAUUUUGGACAAUGGGCGAAAGCCUGAUCCAGCAAUGCCGCGUGUGUGAAGAAGGCCUUCGGGUUGUAAAGCACUUUUGUCCGGAAAGAAAUCCUUGGCUCUAAUACAGUCGGGGGAUGACGGUACCGGAAGAAUAAGCACCGGCUAACUACGUGCCAGCAGCCGCGGUAAUACGUAGGGUGCAAGCGUUAAUCGGAAUUACUGGGCGUAAAGCGUGCGCAGGCGGUUUGCUAAGACCGAUGUGAAAUCCCCGGGCUCAACCUGGGAACUGCAUUGGUGACUGGCAGGCUAGAGUAUGGCAGAGGGGGGUAGAAUUCCACGUGUAGCAGUGAAAUGCGUAGAGAUGUGGAGGAAUACCGAUGGCGAAGGCAGCCCCCUGGGCCAAUACUGACGCUCAUGCACGAAAGCGUGGGGAGCAAACAGGAUUAGAUACCCUGGUAGUCCACGCCCUAAACGAUGUCAACUAGUUGUUGGGGAUUCAUUUCCUUAGUAACGUAGCUAGCGCGUGAAGUUGACCGCCUGGGGAGUACGUCGCAAGAUUAAAACUUAAAUGAAUUGAC